GUGUCAGCCGCCGCGGUAAUACGUAGGGUGCAAGCGUUGUCCGGAUUUAUUGGGCGUAAAGAGCUCGUAGGCGGUAUGUCGCGUCGGGUGUGAAAACCCAGGGCUCAACCCUGGGCCUGCAUCCGAUACGGGCAAACUAGAGUGUGGUAGGGGAGACUGGAAUUCCUGGUGUAGCGGUGAAAUGCGCAGAUAUCAGGAGGAACACCAAUGGCGAAGGCAGGUCUCUGGGCCAUUACUGACGCUGAGGAGCGAAAGCGUGGGGAGCAAACAGGAUUAGAUACCCUGGUAGUCCACGCCGUAAACGGUGGGCGCUAGGUGUGGGGACCAUUCCACGGUUUCCGCGCCGCAGCUAACGCAUUAAGCGCCCCGCCUGGGGAGUACGGCCGCAAGGCUAAA
rnacentral:rRNA from 1 species